GAGUGAUUUCAUGAGAAAUAUUUUCUCGUGUAAUAAAUGGGGCAUUAAAAGAGGAUAAGGUCAAGGCGCUAAGAUUGGUUACUCAUUCAAAUUCAAACUUUGUUUUGAAUUUGAAUGGCCAACCAAUCAUCCUUAUCCACUCAUUUGGCGCAUUAAAGUAGGGCAUGAGGAGGGCUUUGCAUGAGGAAAAAUUCAUGAGAACUUCUUUCUCGUGAAUUCAAAUGGGCACAGUGGAAGUGAGGUGUCGCAGGG
rnacentral:lncRNA from 1 species